rnacentral:rRNA from 1 species
UGGGGAAUUGUUCGCAAUGGGCGCAAGCCUGACGACGCAACGCCGCGUGGAGGAAGAAGGUCUUCGGAUUGUAAACUCCUGUUGACCGGGACGAAUGGGCACCGACCUAACACGUCGGGGCUGUGACGGUACCGGUGGAGGAAGCCACGGCUAACUCUGUGCCAGCAGCCGCGGGAAUACAGAGGUGGCAAGCGUUGUUCGUAAUUACUGGGCGUAAAGGGCGCGUAGGCGGCCUUCUAAGUCGGACGUGAAAUCCCCAGGCUUAACUUGGGAACUGCGUCUGAUACUGGAAGGCUUGAGUGCGGGAGAGGGAUGUGGAAUUCCAGGUGUAGCGGUGAAAUGCGUAGAUAUCUGGAGGAACACCGGUGGCGAAGGCGGCAUCCUGGACCGACACUGACGCUGAGGCGCGAAAGCCAGGGGAGCAAA